rnacentral:rRNA from 1 species
GACGAACGCUGGCGGCGUGCCUAAUACAUGCAAGUUGAGCGCUGAAGGUUGGUACUUGUACCAACUGGAUGAGCAGCGAACGGGUGAGUAACGCGUGGGGAAUCUGCCUUUGAGCGGGGGACAACAUUUGGAAACGAAUGCUAAUACCGCAUAAAAACUUUAAACACAAGUUUUAAGUUUGAAAGAUGCAAUUGCAUCACUCAAAGAUGAUCCCGCGUUGUAUUAGCUAGUUGGUGAGGUAAAGGCUCACCAAGGCGAUGAUACAUAGCCGACCUGAGAGGGUGAUCGGCCACAUUGGGACUGAGACACGGCCCAAACUCCUACGGGAAGCAGCAGUAGGGAAUCUUCGGCAAUGGACGAAAGUCUUACCGAGCAACGCCGCGUGAGUGAAGAAGGUUUUCGGAUCGGAAAACUCUGUUGGUAGGGAAGAACGUUGGUGAGAGUGGAAAGCUCAGCAAGUGACGGUAACUACCCAGAAAGGGACGGCUAACUACGUG